rnacentral:rRNA from 1 species
GAUGAACGCUGGCGGCGUGCCUAAUACAUGCAAGUCGAGCGAACAGACGAGGAGCUUGCUCCUCUGACGUUAGCGGCGGACGGGUGAGUAACACGUGGAUGACCUACCUAUAAGACUGGGAUAACUUCGGGAAACCGGAGCUAAUACCGGAUAAUAUAUUGAACCGCAUGGUUCAAUAGUGAAAGACGGUUUUGCUGUCACUUAUAGAUGGAUCCGCGCCGCAUUAGCUAGUUGGUAAGGUAACGGCUUACCAAGGCAACGAUGCGUAGCCGACCUGAGAGGGUGAUCGGCCACACUGGACCUGAGACACGGUCCAGACUCCUACGGGAGGCAGCAGUAGGGAAUCUUCCGCAAUGGGCGAAAGCCUGACGGAGCAACGCCGCGUGAUUGAUGAAGGUCUUCGGAUCUUAAAACUCUGUUAUUAGGGAAGAACAAAUGUGUAAGUAACUAUGCACGUCUUGACGGUACCUAAUCAGAAAGCCACGGCUAACUACGUG